rnacentral:misc_RNA from 1 species
UGAGAAUUGCUCGGUGUUUUGCACACGCUCCGGUACUUCUCGGUUGUCAUUUAUCGGCGGAAGAUCAUUUACGGAAGUCUCCCGGUCCUCUACAAGCAGCGGGAGAUCCGGUUGUCCAGAAAUGGAAUUUCUAUUCCGGUAAAGUUGCUUUGCUUUAGUUCCGACUCAGGGCCUCCGUUUACAGUUGUGAAAAGUUCAAACAAAAUUCGCCCACCUGCUCCAACUCAUCGAAAGCCCCUGGUUGAGCUGAACGGGCCAAGGUGUAAUCCGCAAGAUUCCGAUGCCAAGACAGGUGAUCAUCGGAUGCCAUCCGAACGGCCAGCUUUGGUACUGUCGUACUUGGAAUACCCAGAGAAGGAAGCGACACCCACAUCAAGUCCAUUGAAGGAACGGAACGGUAUGUAAAUUGAACUGUUUAAACCGAAAGAUGCAAGUUACAUAAAUCAUUUAGUUGCAGAGACGAAACAUCAGAAACAAAAAGAAGAUUCCGGAAAUUUGACCGUUCUUGACAUUACUUUCGGCGAUUUCAACGCGCCCACAUCAAGAUCACGCCUGAAUCAAGAAUACCUCAUUUGCUGCGGGACUCGAUAGUCAAAGAGAAGAGGUUGAGAAUUUUCCAGCAGUUUCCGUUGAUGAAAUGGAUGAUAGCUCGCUGGAACCUUCUAUCGCAGAACGAUGGUUAUUUGCAGGAUGGCCAGGCCAUGCCCCGAGACCAGAUGUCUAAUCCCUUACAGUUUGCAUCCCGAUGGAAGGUCCAGCUGGAGCAUUCCCCGGCGCAAUCGAUCUUUCGGUCCAAACACGAUCUGGAAAGGAAUUGUUGGAUCGUCCAGUUUCGGCAUCGGCCGGUAUGCUAAUCUAACAUUUUUGCUUAUUGUUGGUUACAAUCUAAGCUUUUUCUUUACAGUUUUGCGUUCCACUGAGGAUAAACCGCAGCCGAAGUCGACGGAAACGUCGACAAGCCCCACUUCGCCUCGGGAAACACCGGCUAAUCGA